UGUUUUUUGGGUUUUUUUUUUUUUUUUAUCCUUGUUGGUGUGGUGGCCCGGGAUUUGGGGUUGUUGUAUUUUGAUGGGUUUCGGAUUUUUGCUUCUGAUUUUUGCCUUUUGCAACUUUGUGGUGUUACGUAAAUUGUAGGAUCCCGCAUCGGUUGGAUUUUGUUUUGAGUGUUUUUGCCCCAAUCUCAUCUCUCAAGCGCUUUAAGGAAGAUGUGUUAUUUUAAUACUGAUACUAUUGAAAGAAGCUUGAAUUUUUUGUCGUAUGUGUUACAUCCCAACCCCCAUUUUUUGGGGGGGGUAGGGUGCAAUUUUCUUUCUCCCCAUGGACUUUUACUGAGAGGACGCUCCCCUGCACUUGAGAGACAUGUUCAAAGGAUUUGUUUUGGUUUGUUUCUUUCCAGGACAGCAAGUGAGGACAGAAUAGCCAUCACUGAGGCGUGUGGGACCGCAGGACACAACUGAAAACGGGUCUUCGUGGUUUGAUGGUCCUGUGUCAGAAAAUCAGGGUGAUCUGACUACCUGGGUUUGGAGAUGAGCAUCUUGUUUUCUGGCAGAAUUGAGGAAAGCAAGACUGCUUUGGGCUCUGUGUAAAUUGUAAACUGGUUCUCAGAACAAACUCCAAGUCACACCUAUCUGAAGCCGGCUUGACGGCAGGCAGAGCUGGAGAGCGGAAGAAUGUGCUGAGGAAGGGAGUGCUCUGUACUUUUCCAUUCACAUCUCCACAGUGGCUUUUCUUGUUUAUUUCAACCUCCACCAGCGGAACCCUGUCAGCUGCCUGAAAUCGGAGUCAUUAAACUGUUCCCUGAGUCUAUUUAUGAGAAAAGUAUCAGACAAAUUUCAACGGAAGGGCAUCCUACAAAAGACUUCACCAGUAUUCCACAGAACUAUCAAGGAAAGUCUGAGAAAUUGCAGCAACCAAGAGUAGCCUCAGAAGAUAUGACAACUUAAUGUAAUGUAGUAUCCUGGAUGGGAUCAUGGAACAGAAAACGAUAAGCCUCUCUGCCAAGUGGUUACAGAUCUUUGAACCAACACUGCUGUUCACUAUGGAGGCUGACAUUUAAAUUCUUGUUGGUGGAAUGAGCAUUGGAAAAUGUUAAAGGGUUUCCUGGGGCUUCCCUGGUGGCACAAUGGUUAAGAAUCUGCCUGCCAAUGCAGGAGACACCGGUUCGAGCCCUGGUCCUGGAAAAUCCCACAUGCUAUGGAGCAACUAGGCCCAUGUGCCACAACUACUGAGCCCGUGUGCCACAACUACUGAAGCCCGUGCACCUAGAGCCCGUGCUACACAGCAAGAGAAGCCACCAGAAUGAGAAGCCUGCACACCACAAUGAAGAGUAGCCCCUGCUCGCUGCAACUAGAGAAAGCCCGCGCACAGCAACAAAGACCCAACACAGCCAAAAAUUUAAAAAAUUAAUUAAAAAAAAAAAAAAAAAGGG